UACGUAGGGUGCAAGCGUUGUCCGGAAUUAUUGGGCGUAAAGAGCUCGUAGGCGGUCUGUCGCGUCGGAUGUGAAAACCCAGGGCUCAACCCUGGGCCUGCAUUCGAUACGGGCAGACUAGAGUUCGGUAGGGGAGACUGGACUUCCUGGUGUAGCGGUGAAAUGCGCAGAUAUCAGGAGGAACACCGGUGGCGAAGGCGGGUCUCUGGGCCGAAACUGACGCUGAGGAGCGAAAGCGUGGGGAGCAAACAGG
rnacentral:rRNA from 1 species